rnacentral:rRNA from 1 species
UACGAAGGGGGCUAGCGUUGUUCGGAAUUACUGGGCGUAAAGGGCGCGUAGGCGGCACUGUUAGUCAGGCGUGAAAGUCCUGGGCUCAACCUGGGAACUGCGCUUGAUACGGCAGAGCUAGAGGAUGGAAGAGGCUCGCGGAAUUCCCAGUGUAGAGGUGAAAUUCGUAGAUAUUCGCAAGAACACCAGUGGCGAAGGCGGCUCACUGGCCCGAUACUGACGCUGAGGCACGAAAGCGUGGGGAGCAAACAGG